CGCAGAUGUGCCCACCACUUAGUGGAUCCUAAACUGGAGGUUAUGAGUUGGUUUUCAUCUGCAGACGGACUCCAAGAGAACAUAACUUAAUGAGGGUCGGGAAGUGGAUGAAACGGUACAGGACUGCACUGACUAUACAGCUGGGAGUGAAAGCAGCACCACAAUCUCUGCCUGUCAUCAGUGCAUACCCCCAGCAUGUGGUACUUUUCUAGCAUCAGAUAGAGGGAACUCACUGAAGUAUCACAUAGGUGGAGAAGGACUU